rnacentral:pre_miRNA from 15 species
GAAAUAGGUUCUUUUAGCAACCGGUUUUCUCUGUGAUCUACAGAAUGACAGCUAAUCGUCUGAGAUCAUCGUGAAAGCCAGUUGUUUUUAUGAACUCUU